GUAGGGUGGCAAGCGUUGUCCGGAAUUAUUGGGCGUAAAGCGCGCGCAGGCGGUCCUUUAAGUCUGAUGUGAAAGCCCGCGGCUCAACCGUGGAGGGUCAUUGGAAACCCGGGGGACUUGAGUACAGAAGAGGAAAGCGGAAUUCCAAGUGUAGCGGUGAAAUGCGUAGAGAUUUGGAGGAACACCAGUGGCGAAGGCGGCUUUCUGGUCUGUAACUGACGCUGAGGCGCGAAAGCGUGGGGGGCAAACAGGAUUAGAUACCCUGGUAGUCCACGCCGUAAACGAUGAGUGCUAAGUGUUAGGGGGUUUCCGCCCCUUAGUGCUGCAGCUAACGCAUUAAGCACUCCGCCUGGGGAGUACGGCCGCAAGGCUG
rnacentral:rRNA from 1 species